UAAAGUGAUUUAUUUCUAUCUUACGUGAAAUAACAUAGUGUGAGCAUACACGAUUCUUACAUCUUUUUUCAUGAUUCUUAUAUCUUAUGCUGUUUCCAUAAUACAUUACAUGUAGUAUUUUUAAAAAUAUAGAAUACUUCAUGAAUUUUCACAUCAUUCUUGCACACAGGCCAUGCUAAUUUUCUCUGUAUUAUUCUAAUUUUAGUAUAUGUGUUCCGAAAGUGACCCUUAGUUGUCAUAUUUUUAAGUAAGUGCCUCCCACCCACUUUCAUCACAGAUGCAAUGAAUGAACAUAUUGUAGUUAAACCACCAAUCCUCAUUUCAAUAUAAAAUUUUACUCAUUCAUUUUCAGAUGUGACUUUACACAUUAGAGUCACUGAAUGCAAAAAGAAGUCUGGAUAAUGAGACUCUCAGCUGGUACAGAGAGAAGUGUGACAUGACCCACACAACUUGCUACAGGAAACCUCUAUUUCCUGUUCUGGGGCAACAGCAGCACAUACUCAGCCAUCCUUCCUUCACCCUGGCAGGCUCCCCUCACGGUGCCGAGCUCUGAAAUUGAAGAAGACAUUUCCCAUCUAGUGGAAAAACUCAAACAUGUUUCUGUCCAGCCUUCUGAAGGUGGUAAUGGCUUCAAUGUGGCUGGGAUCCAGUAUUUCCCAAAAGGUAACUCAAGCCCCACCAGCGAUGUUAGUACAGGAGAAGGAGGCUGUCAUCCUGGAAUGCACAUAUGACACCAGCGAUCCAAAUUAUAGUCUAUUGUGGUACAAGCAGCCCAGCCGCGGGGAGAUGAUUUUCCUUGUUCGUCAAGAUUCUCACAACCAACAAAAUGCCACAGAAGGUCGCUACUCAUUGAAUUUCCAGAAGGCAAGAAAAUCCAUCCAUCUUGUCAUCUCAGCUUCACAGCUGGAGGACUCUGCAGUGUAUUUCUGUGCACUCAGGAGCCCACAGUGAGAGGCAAGCUGGAGGGAGGUGUACCCAAACCCCAGAGCUCUUGUUGAUACAUCCACCUGUUGUAGGGAUCAAGGCAGGGAAUUCCAUCCUACACAGGAAGUGGCUAAGGCUGGGGCAGCUCAGAUGGAGGGUUAGAGGGAAAACCUGACUCUAAGAAAAUACCUCUCUAGAUAAGAAUUAUCAUUCAUCAAAAACAUCCUUACCCCUGAAAAUUUGUGUUGAAAGGGUUUAUUGAAAACUAGAAAAGCCACGAUAAACAAUUUGCCAUUUUGCAAUUAGAUUCAGCUGUGAGAAUUGGCUAAGUAAAUUCGGAAACAUUUGACUCAAAAAUCAGUAAAAAUGUGUGUGAAUUGUUGGAUUUUCAGGUGAAUUUUAUUCAGUAAGUAUAUCUCGAAUAUAUAUUAUGUUACAGCCAUUAUUUAGAAUAUGGAAGGCCAUGGAAUGUUUCUGUGGUUUUCCUUUUUUUGUUUUAUGUCACGCUGGUUUAUUCUGCUUAAUGACGUGGUUUAAUUAGGUUUGUUUACUGUGAGUCAACUGUACUUACAUGUAUUUUCCAAGGUGCCUACUCUGUGACAUAUGUCUGUACUAUUGCUCGUCCCAUGUUAUUAACACGCCUAGCAUUUAUGUCCUCGAUUUGCAUUCUGGAGGUUUACCUGCUUCCCAACACUGUUAUCUGCAAAUGAUCAUGAUUAGUGGCUCUUAGGGGGGACCCUGUGAAGUAGCAGGGUGUGAAUUAUCCUCUUUGUCUGUUCCCACCCUUUACUUCAAAACUUUUUCAAAGGCAUUUUUCCCAGCACGUGGCUCAGGUUGCACACUUCUGAGCCCUCUUUGUUUGAUCAAUGUUCCACAGUCCAACACCACUCCUUCUCUCCAUUUUCCUCCUUCCACCUCUAACCUCAUUUCCCCAGUGCCUUCACAUUCGAAUGGUAAUGGAUGGUUGAUAACUGGUCUUGCAUUGUAACACUCUUAUAUUUGCGUGGAAAGCAGAUGGGUAGGGUAGAAAUCCUAACAAGAAUCUCUUUAAAAAAUUUUAAUUAUAAAAUUUUACCAUUGUAACAUACAUUUUUACCAGUUUAACAAUUUUUAAGUGUACAAUUCAGUGGUAUGAAAUACAUUUACAUUGUUGUUCAACAAGCACCACUGUCCAUUUCCAGAAAUCUUUUCAUCUUGAAAAACUGAAUAUUUGUACUCAUUAAACAAUAGCUCCAUCCCUACA